rnacentral:rRNA from 1 species
CCUACGGGAGGCAGCAGUGGGGAAUAUUGGUCAAUGGGCGCAAGCCUGACCCAGCAACGCCGCGUGAAGGAAGAAGGCUUUCGGGUUGUAAACUUCUUUUAGGAGGGAAGAGCAGAAGACGGUACCUCUUGAAUAAGCCACGGCUAACUACGUGCCAUCAGCCGCCGUAAUACGUAGGUGGCAAGCGUUGUCCGGAUUUACUGGGUGUAAAGGAUGUGCAGCCGGGAAGACAAGUCAGAUGGGAAAUCCCGGGGGUCAAACGCGGAACUGCAUUUGAAACUGGUUUUCUUGAGUACCGGAGAGGUCAGCGGAAUGCCUUGUGUAGCGGUGAAAUGCGUAGAUAUAAGGAAGAACACCAGUGGCGAAGGCAGAUGACUGGACGGCAACUGACGGUGAGGCGCGAAAGCGUGGGGAGCAAACAGGAUUAGAUACCCGGGUAGUC